rnacentral:rRNA from 1 species
AACGAACGCUGGCGGCAGGCUUAACACAUGCAAGUCGAGCGCCCCGCAAGGGGAGCGGCAGACGGGUGAGUAACGCGUGGGAAUCUACCUUUUGCUACGGAAUAACUCAGGGAAACUUGUGCUAAUACCGUAUGUGCCCUUCGGGGGAAAGAUUUAUCGGCAAAGGAUGAGCCCGCGUUGGAUUAGCUAGUUGGUGGGGUAAAGGCCCACCAAGGCGACGAUCCAUAGCUGGUCUGAGAGGAUGAUCAGCCACACUGGGACUGAGACACGGCCCAGACUCCUACGGGAGGCAGCAGUGGGGAAUAUUGGACAAUGGGCGCAAGCCUGAUCCAGCCAUGCCGCGUGAGUGAUGAAGGCCCUAGGGUUGUAAAGCUCUUUCACCGGUGAAGAUAAUGACGGUAACCGGAGAAGAAGCCCCGGCUAACUUCGUGCCAGCCGCCGCUGUAACAC